GGCGAAUCAUGACAAUAUAACCGUCGCACGUCACCGUCGCCGGAAAGUGACGGUACGGACUUGUCUACACCGUUUUGGUUGUCAAUUGCACCUUUCCGUUUCCCGUUGGAGGCAACGGAACCAGUAGACGAUUCGUCAUUCAUGUGUCCACCUCCGGCAGUGGCGAAUCUGACCUAGAAAUCACCGUCACCGUGUUGUUUACGGUUUCCGAUUACAUAUUCCAGAUUAUGAAGAAGGUGCACAUAUCAAUUUGUUGAAGAUGCAACAGGACUGGUACUUACCAGCUUUUGAUUGGUGUUCUUGAAUUCAAAUAGAAGACCCAGACGUGCCGCCGUACUAUAUCUCCGGGGACUCUGCAAUACAUUGACCAACUCUCUUUCUUGACACCAGCUCCAUCGCGGUGUUGUAUCAGAAAAGUUUUUAUUUCAACUAUGCACCUGGCAAAAUGGUAAGGUCGGGUUGGGCGGUGUGUCGGUCAGAAUGUAUUUGGGUCAGUAUUUAUCGUGUUAAUAAGUGGUCGUUUUGGUUCAGGUCAAAAUGAGUUCUAACCAAACUAGGUUUGGCUCAAAAUGGCUUCUGGCCGAAAUCGGUUUGGGUCAGAACAAGUCGAUUUGAAGAAGAUUCAAUUUUAAAAACUAGCCGGCCCGAGCCCGAGCCCGAGCCCGACUAGGCUUGAGCUCGGCUCGCCAUGUUUUUCUGAAGCUUGAGCUCGACUCAGUUCGAGCCAACUUAUUUGAGCUCGAGCUCGGCUCGCGAGUAAAACCCAAAGCUCGAGCUCGGCUCAAGCUAUUUUGAAAACAACCUAAAACGAGCUAAAAGCUUGGUUCGAGCUCGCUUCAAUAUCGCUUAAAUGUGCCAAAACUGGGCCCGAGCUCGGCCCGUCACUGUUAUCAUCAAUAUCGCUUCAAAAAUAAAAUUUUGUUUGGGCUCGUUUAGGCUCGCGAGCCUAAACGAGCUUUGUAUUCCAGGCUCGAGCUCAGGCUCAAUAACUCAACGAGCUCUAUUUCAGGCUUGGGCUUGGGCUCAUUAAAGCUCGGCUCAUUCGAGCUUUUAACUGAGCCAAUGACGAGUAGCUCUCGAGCCUUUGGACUUGUUUACACCCCUAUUUGUAACAGUAGUUAAAUAUCUAGUUGUUCAAAAGCCAUAUUAACCCAGGAAUAGUAUAUACAACUGAGCGUACUUGUAUAAAUCUGCAAGAAAUAUGGUGUAUUCUUAUCCAGACGAGCAAAAGUACUAACCAACCAAAGUAUAGAUCUGUAAGAUAACUCUCAAGUGCAGUAUUGCUCUUAUACAUCAAACAUUACAGCCAAGUGUUUGUAUUUCCUUGAGAAAAUAUUUGUUAUCCAGUUCAAUAAAUCAUUCAACAGGUUGCUUUAUAAGCUUUAUACAUUUCAAAAGUACUAUGCAUUUCAAAACAUGUAUGUAUAUAAAAAAAGGGAAAUGGGAUAUAUAUACAUUUCAAAAUAGCCCCUUUUAAUGAACGGACUACUUUUUUGAACUGAUGAUAAUAGUACUAUGACAAUUUUUGUAAAAUUAGUUUCCGAUAUGAUGAACAAUAUUAUAGAAUAUUACUGAGGUAGCCCUUCACUAAAUUGCCAAAUAGACCAGCUAUUGCAAAAAAAAUGACCAGUUUAGGACAUUUGAGCAUAAUUACAAAAUAGACCAGCUAGCUAUCCUGUGAUAGUUGCCCAAUUAAAUUUAGAUUAAGAACUGUUUUGGCCCAAUCUAACCCGAACCUUUUGACCCAUUACCCAUCCCAUUUGACCCGUCCAUUUUUCCACAUCUACCAUUUUCUUUUAAAUGGGAAUGUGAUGCAUUGCUGGUGGAGGAUGUGUUGGAAGUUGGAUCUGAUAUAGUUGUUGUGCAUGAUGCUGCAGCCUCCCGGGUACAACGAUUAACUAAGGUGUCAAGUGCGGUUGAUCAUGUGCAAAGUGCGAACAUAUCCCUUAAAAAGACAAGCCGAGUCAAGCCCAAGCCAAGGCUGGCUUGCUCGUUAGCUCGGCUUGGUUUGGCUCAAAUAAAUUUAAAGUGAAAGUAAAUAUAUUUGAGGCAAACUAAGUGGAGCUAACGAAGAUGCUGAUGUUGAAGAACAAGUGUUUGCUGAGCAGGACAACGAAGAUGAAGAUGAAGUUGAUGACGGUGUUGCUAAUCUGGAGGACAGAAGGGUGUGUCUCGUUGAUCAACGCGAAUUGUGUAGUUUUAAUUGGUAACUAAUUGUAAUAUUUUUUUAGGUUGAAAAUUUGAUUGGUGUAGUUUUGGUUGAGUUCUUUGCACCAUG